rnacentral:rRNA from 1 species
GACGAACGCUGGCGGCGUGCUUAACACAUGCAAGUCGAACGGAAAGGCCCUUCGGGGUCCUCGAGUGGCGAACGGGUGAGUAACACGUGGGUGAUCUGCCCUGCACUUUGGGAUAAGCCUGGGGAACUGGGUCUAAUACCGAAUAGGACCACGCGCUUCAUGGUGUGUGGUGGAAAGCUUGUGCGGUGUGGGAUGGGCCCGCGGCCUAUCAGCUUGUUGGUGGGGUAAUGGCCUACCAAGGCGACGACGGGUAGCCGGCCUGAGAGGGUGACCGGCCACACUGGGACUGAGAUACGGCCCAGACUCCUACGGGAGGCAGCAGUGGGGAAUAUUGCACAAUGGGCGCAAGCCUGAUGCAGCGACGCCGCGUGAGGGAUGACGGCCUUCGGGUUGUAAACCUCUUUCAAUAGGGACGAAGCGCAAGUGACGGUACCUAUAGAAGAAGCACCGGCCAACUACGUG